UAGAGUGGUUACAUACAGGAAGUAGAUUUGCAAGUUUGUGCUGCCUGACUGCAUUAAACAGCAGCUGCGUGAAUCUCAGAGAGGAUUAAAGAGGGACAUUCGAGUCACUUCACAGUCACUGCCGCACAGACAUGAUGGCUUUACUGGGAAUGUUCCUCUGGACACUGGCCCUGUCUGUUCAAGGCUCUGGGGCUCAGAUCAUCCUGACUCAGAGUCCAGCAGUGGAAUCGGUCGCUGUAGGAGUCACUGUCACUCUGAACUGCCAAUCCAGCAGCUCUUCAGUUGGGAACAGCUUAGCCUGGUAUCAGCAGAAACCUGGAGAAAGUCCCAAACUUCUCUUCUCCUCAGUGGGUAACAAGGUGUCUGGGAUUCCAGGCCGUUUCUCCGAUAGCCGUGAUGGUACAAAUUACAGGCUGAAAAUCAGUGGAGUGCAGGCUGAAGAUGCAGGAGAUUAUUACUGUCAGCAGUAUUAUAGCGGGUACACACAGUGACACAGGCCAGUACAAAAACCUCACUCCACUGUGCAUAUGCUCAGUCUAGGAAAACUACUAUCAAAAUUGGUAGAUUUCCCAAGAUAGAUCCUGACUACAGUAAUUUACUGGAUUCUGAUGAUCUUUUAUACCCUGAAACCCUGUACUGGAUGGUGAAUGCUUAUUUUAUUUAUUUUUUUUUGUCCAAUUUCAUUCUGACAUUUGGUAAUGAUUAAUUUAUUGUGCUAAGCAGUUUGCUUCAAUGGAUACAAAACACCACAACUUUUUUACUUUUAAUUUCUAUUUUGAAAAAAUACUUUAAAAAGUCUGACUAUUUCUUACUGGUUUGACUAGUCUAUCUAUUUUUGUUCAUCUUUGUAACAUGCAGAGAAGUUCACUGAAAUGAUUAAACAUAAUAUGUAUUGACUGACAGCAUAACAUGCUGUAUAUCCGCUCUGUGAAUAUCUUCCUGAGUCCCAAGGCAGAAAAGUGUCCUUCAAUUCUACAUUAUUUGUGAUUUUCUAUGUCUUUGGAGGAAAUAAGACAUCUAACAAUUUAGAUUUUUUUCAAAUUUAUUUUAAUUUUUUAUUUCACAGCAUGUCCUCUUUAGUGUACAACAGGAAUAAAUAUGUUUCCUUA